GGCCAGAUGCCCGAGCGGUUAAGGGGACAGACUAGAAUAUGCGCUCGUGAGAGCCGCCUUGCUUCAUCUGUUAGGCUUUGCCUGCGCAGGUUCAAAUCCUGCUCUGGUCG
rnacentral:tRNA from 1 species